rnacentral:rRNA from 1 species
GACGAACGCUGGCGGCGUGCUUAACACAUGCAAGUCGAACGGAAAGGCCCUGCUUUUGUGGGGUGCUCGAGUGGCGAACGGGUGAGUAACACGUGAGUAACCUGCCCUUGACUUUGGGAUAACUUCAGGAAACUGGGGCUAAUACCGGAUAGGAGCUCCUGCUGCAUGGUGGGGGUUGGAAAGUUUCGGCGGUUGGGGAUGGACUCGCGGCUUAUCAGCUUGUUGGUGGGGUAGUGGCUUACCAAGGCUUUGACGGGUAGCCGGCCUGGGAGGGUGGCCGGCCACCUUGGGACUGAGAUACGGCCCAGACUCCAACGGGAGGCAGCAGUGGGGAAUAUUGCCCAAUGGGCGGAAGCCUGAUGCAGCAACGCCGCGUGCGGGAUGACGGCCUUCGGGUUGUAAACCGCUUUCGCCUGUGACGAAGCGUGAGUGACGGUAAUGGGUAAAGAAGCACCGGCUAACUACGUG